GCUCCAGUGGCGCAAUUGGUUAGUGCAUAGUACUGAUAAUGCUGAGGUUGUGAGUUCGAAUCUCACCUGGAGUA